GAUUGAAACCACAUGUGAGGCAAGCGCUCUACUGCUGAGCCCCAGCCCCAACUCUGAAGUUUACAUUUUGGUGGGGGAAUCAGAUGAAAAUAUAUGUUCCCAAUUGGAUGGUGUCCCCUACAAUGACUCAUCCAUGUCCUAACUCUCCUACCCACGAGUGUGACUUUAUUUGGAAAUAGUCGUUGCCGAUCUGACUCGAUAAAGAUGAGGUCAUACUGUAACUGAUGACUGGUGUCCCUUUGAGAGGGCAACUUGAGCAGAGACAUUGAUGCACAGGAGAGAAAGGUGGACUGAGUUGCCAGCCACAGCCAUGGACGCCAAGGAACUCCGGCACCGCCCGAAGGCACCACUGCCCCUGAGCCUGCAGACACCUUGGCGGGGGACUCCCGGCCUCUACCCUUGGAGAGAAUGAAUUCCUGUUGCUGUACACCCGGGCUUCCUGCCGCCUCAUCUGCAGAAUCUCCACAGAGCAAGCCACGGCUUCACAGCAGUAGAGCUGCUGGUCUCCCAGCUGCUGACCUCAGGGGACUGUGUAAGAAAAAUGGCACUCGGGGCCACCGGGACUGACUCCAGGGCACUAGCCACUCCUGCAAGGGCUCUGGGACUAACCACCAUGUCCUGCCUGUCUAUUGCCUGAGCAGGGACCCAUUCUCCUUCUCUGCUCAGGUCUCAUUUGGGGCAGGAAGAAGACAGGCCAUCAGCUCUGGGGACAGUAGCCCGCGAGGGCUGGGAGUUUGUUUGCUAUGUACAUGGUGGGAGUCUGUAUAACUGUGACACAUACUCCCUCUGAAAACCAACGUGUGUAUGAUACAUCUGUACCAAAGGAAGGGACUUCACACUCUUUCCUCAGUCACAUGGGUUGAGAAACUGCCCCAUGAUACUGGCCAUAUAGUUGAUAAAGCUGAUCAAUGCCACAGAUACAGGACCUGUUUCUCAGGCAGAGUCACUCCCAUCAUCAAUGAUCACUGUUUGCCAGUGACAGAGUCUAAGGCCAAGGAGGAACCUGGGAUCCCUGUGGUCUUAUCCAAGACCCUAAGAUAGUAUGUAGAGCUGUCCGGAGUGUCCACGCUGGCCACGCCAGAUGCCUUUGACAGAGGCCCCCAAGUCAGGAGGAGUGUGGGAAGACAGGGCAGGUGGGUGCAGCUCUCCUUCAGGAAAACUGGCUGAAUUCAACUACACGAGAACAUAGUUCUAAAUGCACCAUUGCACUGUGAUGUUUGAGGAAGCAACAUAAAGAACACUGGGGUUGGUGCAAAGCUGGGGCCUCUGCAGGGGCGCUGUGCUGAUUUAUGGGUUGCAGGAGCAGCAGAAGUAACUAAAGAGCCUGCUCUUGUAGCUGAGCUUCAUCCUCCGUGGCUGAUAUAAAUUAAUGCAAAUGUGAAAGGAAAACAACAGCUAUAUUGUGCACAAUUAAAUGCAUUAACCAAACACAAGAGCAUCUGAAUACUAAUGUUUUCACAACAGUUGGGCUUUGUGUCCCUGAACACAGUUAUUUGUGAGGCACAGAGAAGCAUUUAUUUCCCAAAGUAGUUUCUCCCAGCGGUAAGAAGUGUGAUGUGAAGUCUAAAUCUGUGGACGUGCGACGGUUUUGGUGGGACAAGUAGCGCUGAAAUGCCUCCGUUUACACAUUGAGGCUCCCGAAGACUAUUGUGUAGAUGUUAUUUAUGGAACAGAGCAUUUAUUACCAAAACCAGUGGAACACGCAGACCUGAUUUUACCUGAAGAGGUGCUCCUAUCUCCUGUAGGAUGGACCAAAUCCUACAAUCACAGGAAAACUUCUUUAAAGAAGAACACACCUCAGUCCUCCAGCCAGAAGGACCCCAGCUGCGGGGAGCGUCCUGGCCUUCAGCAGGGCCACAGGAGAGGCUGAGCCCAUGGGGACCUAGGCCAGGUCUCAGCGCUUCUCGACAGACCACACCUUCGUCCUUCCUGCCUUCCGCCGCCUGGGCUGGGCUUCUGCCGCAGCAGGGUGGCGGCUCCCUGCCCUCAGGUUCCCUUCAGCCAUCAACAGCUGGGAGGGUCCCCUGGGGCUUUGCAGGGGAAGGCCGCAGCAGCGGUGCCUGGCCUGGCCCCCUGGCUCGGCUCCCUCGCCCACCCAGGACAGGCUCCUCCUGUUCUUCCCUGGUUCUCUAACCAGUGCCAGCAUGGGCCACGCCAGCCAAAGCCCAUGAUGGCCUGUGUCCUGGCCCUGUGCUGGCCCAUCCUGGGCAGCCUGACCACACCCCUCUGGACAUGCCUUGUCUUGUGGUCAGUGCUGCAGUGAUUGCUGAUUCCUUGGAGUGGCUCCCGGUUUGCUCACCUAUUCUCCCUGGUUCGGUGACCACCUCUCUGGGGACAGGAGCCAUGCAAUGUCCAGCUGUGACUAUCCAGCACAGUGCUGGGACCUCGAUGGACGCUCACAGAGCCUUUGUGAUACUCUAGACAAGACGAUUCAGUAAAGCUCUGCAGCGUCAGCAAAGGAACCAGCCACGCCCCUUCUCAAACCGCACACCUGAAUGCAGCAUCUGAACUCCUCGCUCGUUUGAAAAAUGAUCUGUGGCGUGGCACAGACUUCCACAAGGCCUUUGGUACACAUGUGCCAAGCCGUCUGUCGAGAGCAAACCAAGCCCAAAGCAAAAGAAAUGGGUGUGGCCAGGACCAGGGGUCUGUAGAGGAUGUCAGAUGAGGCUGACCUCCAUCCUCUGGUGGCCUGCGGUGUCCUUAGGUGAGUCUGAGCCAGGAGAGCCUGUGUUGAUGCAUGGGAAGGUGUAGCUGCAUUCUAAUCUCUUAAAGUCCCUCUCAGAAACAGCACACUACUGUCUGGCUUGACGUUUUCAUCUAGUGUCGCCUGUAGCUGCUGCUGUCCACAGAAAGUGAGAGAAAUCCUCGUGGGGUGUCUUCCCUGCCUUUCCAGCGACCUGUGAAGCAGGCGGCUCUGUUGGCCCUUUCAUCCACCUUUGGAAACCGAGACCUGACAAAGCCACGCAGGGCUAUGCUACUCCAGUCCUCUCCACGUCUGGAGACUGUGGGCCACUGCCCACUGUGGUCGCCUCACACCUGGCCCUUCUGCACCCUGAGCUGGCCUGAACCGGAGCAAGGCUUUGCACCUCAGGGUAAAAGUAGCUGCAGACAAGUGACAGCCACACCUUCCAGAUGACAGCUACAUGAGGGUGGCCAGGAGGCGAAGGCAGUCACCAGUCCUGACAGGAGAGCUCAUCCAGUGUCCCCUGUAGCUGGCCAACAGCAAAAAGCCUGUGUGCACUCCGCGGCCUGUGCACACAGACACCUGCUUGCCGGCCUCCCUGCCCCUCUGGUUACAGUUUACAGUGCUGUCCUUGGCAGAAUCCACAAGUGACGUUCAACCCAGCGCCACUCAGGAACCCCACACAUUCUAUCCCGGCAGUCUGUCCAUCCGACAUUUCCCUGGAGUCAUCUGGAAACACACCACAAUAACUCCGGUGCUUGUUUAGAAAACGGCCACUCAGCCCUCAGCUUGCUAUGACCAGAAAACGACAUAAAUGAAACACUCAUACAGGACAAUCUCCAGUGAAGUUGUGGUGACAAUGAAUUCCGUCCUGUAUUCAAAUACUUUUUUUGUAACCUA